GAAACCAAAUAAGCAACCAAGAGAAAAGCAGAGGCAGAGAGAGAGAGAGAGAUCGAUUUUUACUGUUUAGCCCUGCUAUUGCCAAGUUUCAUCGCAUUCUUCUUUUUUUUCAUUUUUCAUUCCGUUGGGACCAAAACAUGGAGGGACUGCAUGAUUUUCAAUGGAGGAAGGAAAUGAGUU
rnacentral:ribozyme from 1 species